GGUGCAGCUUAGGCUUCGGGUGAGUGCAGCCGCCAGGACCAGCCUGGCUGGGGUGCCCCUCUCCUGAGUGCUCUCAGGCACAGCCCUCAGACCUCACGAUCGUCCCGUCCCCGCAGGGUUUCCCGAGACGAUGACCUGCUGCUGCCUUACCCACUCGCGCGCAGACGUCCCUCGCGGGACUGCGCCCGGGUGCACGCAGGCAGCCCAGAACAGGAGAGCUGGCCUCCGCCACCCACGAACCCCGGCGCCAGCCACCGCGCGGCCGUGCGCACCUUUGUGUCGCACUUCGAGGGACGCGCGGUGGCCGGCCACCUGACGCGGGUGGCUGACCCCCUACGCACUUUCUCGGUGCUGGAGCCGGGAGGACCCGGAGGCUGCGCGCAGAGGCGUCGCGCUACUGUGGAGGACACAGCCGUCCCGGCCGGUUGCCGCGUCGCUCAGAACGGUGGCUUCUUCCGCAUGGGGACUGGCGAGUGCUUGGGGAAUGUGGUGAGCGACGGGCGGCUGGUGAGCAGCUCUGGGGGACUGCAGAACGCUCAGUUCGGUAUCCGACGCGACGGGACCUUAGUCACCGGGU
rnacentral:lncRNA from 1 species